rnacentral:rRNA from 1 species
CCUACGGGAGGCAGCAGUGGGGAAUUUUGGACAAUGGGCGAAAGCCUGAUCCAGCCAUGCCGCGUGCAGGAUGAAGGCCUUCGGGUUGUAAACUGCUUUUGUACGGAACGAAAAGUCUCUUUCUAAUAAAGAGGGAUCAUGACGGUACCGUAAGAAUAAGCACCGGCUAACUACGUGCCAGCAGCCGCGGUAAUACGUAGGGUGCAAGCGUUAAUCGGAAUUACUGGGCGUAAAGCGUGCGCAGGCGGUUAUAUAAGACAGUUGUGAAAUCCCCGGGCUCAACCUGGGAACUGCAUCUGUGACUGUAUAGCUAGAGUACGGUAGAGGGGGAUGGAAUUCCGCGUGUAGCAGUGAAAUGCGUAGAUAUGCGGAGGAACACCGAUGGCGAAGGCAAUCCCCUGGACCUGUACUGACGCUCAUGCACGAAAGCGUGGGGAGCAAACAGGAUUAGAUACCCUGGUAGUCCACGCCCUAAACGAUGUCAACUGGUUGUUGGGAAUUCACUUUCUCAGUAACGAAGCUAACGCGUGAAGUUGACCGCCUGGGGAGUACGGCCGCAAGGUUGAAACUCAAAGAAAUUGACGGCUGAGACGNGCGACGACGACGACGAGGAGGAGGAG